AACGAACGCUGGCGGCAGGCUUAACACAUGCAAGUCGAACGCAUCGCAAGAUGAGUGGCAGACGGGUGAGUAACACGUGGGAACAUACCCUUUGGUGCGGAACAACAGCUGGAAACGGCUGCUAAUACCGCAUGCGCCCUACGGGGGAAAGAUUUAUCGCCGAAGGAUUGGCCCGCGUCUGAUUAGCUAGUUGGUGAGGUAAUGGCUCACCAAGGCGACGAUCGGUAGCCGAACUGAGAGGUUGAUCGGCCGCAUUGGGACUGAGACACGGCCCAGACUCCUACGGGAGGCAGCAGUGGGGGAUAUUGCACAAUGGGGGAAACCCUGAUGCAGCAACGCCGCGUGAGGGAAGACGGUCUUCGGAUUGUAAACCUAAGUUGGUGGGGACGAAGAAAUGACGGUACCCACAGAGAAAGCUCCGGCUAACUACGUG
rnacentral:rRNA from 1 species